GACGAACGCUGGCGGCGUGCUUAACACAUGCAAGUCGAACGGGCCUUGUCCCCUUUUUUUUUGGGGGUGGGGUUAGUGGCGAACGGGUGAGUAACACGUGAGUAACCUGCCCCUCACUUCUGGAUAACCGCUUGAAAGGGUGGCUAAUACGGGGUGUUCUGGCCUGCUCGCAUGGGUGGGUUUGGAAAGAUUCGACCGGUUUUGGUUGUUCUGGUGGGGGAUGGGCUCGCGGCCUAUCAGCUUGUUGGGGGGGUGAUGGCCUGCCAAGGGUUUGACGGGUAGCCGGCCUGAGAGGGUGGGCGGGCACACUGGGACUGAGACACGGCCCAGACUCCUACGGGAGGCAGCAGUGGGGAAUAUUGCACAAGGGGCGCAAGCCUGAUGCAGCGACGCCGCGUGAGGGAUGGAGGCCUUCGGGCUGUGAACCUCUUUCGCCAGUGAAGAAGGUCCUGCUCUUUGUGGUGGGGUUGACGGUAGCUGGGUUAAUGAAGCGCCGGCUAACUACGUG
rnacentral:rRNA from 1 species